AGAGCGAACGCUGGCGGCAGGCCUAACACAUGCAAGUCGAGCGCCCGUAGCAAUACGGGAGCGGCAGACGGGAUAGUAACACGUGGGAACGCGCCCUUCGGUUCGGAAUAACUCAGGGAAACUUGAGCUAAUACCGGAUACGCCCUUACGGGGAAAGAUUUAUUGCCGAAGGAACGGCCCGCGUCCGAUUAGCUAGUUGGUGAGGUAAUGGCUCACCAAGGCGACGAUCGGUAGCUGGUCUGAGAGGAUGACCAGCAUCACUGGGACUGAGACACGGCCCAGACUCCUACGGGAGGCAGCAGUGGGGAAUAUGGACAAUGGGCGCAAGCCUGAUCCAGCCAUGCCGCGUGGAUGAUGAAGGCCUUAGGGUUGUAAAGUCCGUUUUAACGGGGAAGAUAAUGACGGUACCCGUAGAAUAAGCCCCGGCUAACUUCGUGCCAGCAGCCGC
rnacentral:rRNA from 1 species